AGAUGAUUGAGAACUAGGAUUAAAAGACUAGCAAGGAUUUCUAACAUAUCCAUCAAUUUGUUAUUUGGAUUGAAGUCAAAUUUUUCAUACAAAUAAUAAACCUAACUUCCAAUAAUUAUAAAAAAAUUAAAAUUUAUUGAAUAGUGAAAUUAAGAGAUUUUGGUUCUAAAAUAUUGGCAUCAAGGUUGGAGAAGAAAGUUGGCCAAUAUCCAAGUAGAUUCCAAAGAUUAUCUUCUAUGUAGUAUGUAUGAUCUUUUUUAAUUUUUAGUACUUAUUUUCAAUUUAGCUAAUAAGAAGUGUAAAAAUUUUGAGUUAAAAUCAAUAUUUUGAUCAUUAAUUAUUGAUAUUUCAAUCCAUUAUGGAAUUUAGGGCUUUUUUAGAGCUUAGUUAAGAUUCAUUAGGAUUUCAUUAGGAUUUAGUUAGAAUUUUAUCAAGAUUUAAUUUAGAGAUUUAUUAGGAUUUCAUUAGGAUUUCAUUAGAAUUUGGUUUAAGAUUUAGUUAGGAUUUUUUUAUAGUUUUAUUAGAAUUUGUUUAGAAUUUCAUCGAAAUUGGUUUAGGAUUU
rnacentral:lncRNA from 1 species